GCUGGAGGCGUUGGCGAACGCCUGUAGUCCCAGCUACUCAGGAGGCUGAGGUGGGAGGAUUGCUUGAGCCCAGGAGUUCUGGGCUGUAGUGCGCUAUGCCCAUUGGGUGUCCACACAAAGUUCAGCAUCAAUAUGGUGACCUCCCUGGAGCUGGGAACCACCAGGUUGCCUAAGGAGGGGUGAACCGGCGCAGGUCGGAAACGGAGCAGGUCAAAACUCCUGUGCUGAUCAGUAGUGGGAUAACAUCUGUGAAUAGCCACUGCACUCCAGCCUGGUCAACAUAGCGAGACCUGUCUCU
ensembl:misc_RNA Metazoa_SRP Metazoan signal recognition particle RNA